GGCCCAAACUGCCCCGCCCUCUUUAGCGGCGGGAAAGGGGAGCGCCUCCGACUUCCAGCCCAGGGUCUGUGGGCCUCGGAAAAACGUCGAAAUUUUCGGCAGAUACAUCUUUGUAUGUGGUGCUGAGGAUCUAACCUGGGCCGCACGCAUGCCAGGUCUGGGUUUUCCAUGAACAGAAAAGGGAGACCGGCCACCCAGUAUUAUCAAAAAGUUUGAAGAAAAGAAAGUCUGGAAAGUUCUCAACUGCCCCCUGAACCUGACACUGCUCAACCAUGUACAUAACUCAAGA